UACGUAGGGCGCAAGCGUUGUCCGGAAUUAUUGGGCGUAAAGAGCUCGUAGGCGGUCUGUCGCGUCUGCCGUGAAAACCCGAGGCUUAACCUCCGUGGCUUGCGGUGGAUACGGGCAGACUAGAGGUAGGUAGGGGAGAACGGAAUUCCGGUGUAGCGGUGAAAUGCGCAGAUAUCGGGAGGAACACCGGUGGCGAAGGCG
rnacentral:rRNA from 1 species